GAAAAUCACAGAGCCGCAGAGCAGAACCGGAGAGGGAUGGGGCAGUGGGCGGAGGGAAUCCCAAAAGACUUUCCUACAUCCACAAUAUUAUUGGAGUUCCUUCAAUGAGACCUGAGACACAAUCUGUUCAGAUACCUUCAUUAUAUGGAAGAGUCAUCACUGAAAUGUGGUGUUGUUCCUUUUGACUCUUGAUCACACCAAAAGCUAACAUUUCAUAGAGUUUAUUUUGGGAAAUUCUGUCUUUGAGGACUAGCCCAUGCAGAAAGCAAUUUUUCUUUCCAUAUUGUUCCAGAGAGGCCUUUGGCCACAUCAUUGCCGAUUCUGGUAUGUGGAUCUCAUAAAGCCGUUGAGCCCAUCAAGUAUAUAUAGUUGUGAAGACAGUCAAGUUCAGACCAGAAACCUACACAAUUUUUCCUGAAACUUGGUGAAUGGGAUAAAAAGAUUAAAGCAUGAUUUUCACUUCUUGGAAAUCAAAUCAAGAUGGCUUAUGGACCUAAAGAUGUCCUUGUGUGGAAGCUCAGCAUGUUUUUUUCAUGGAUCAGGAAAGAAAAAGGAUAAAAGGACGUGGAGUUGGAGGAGUUUUGUUUAUUUUAAAUCUGUAUCUCUUGAAGGUGCUACAGAAGUCAAAAAGAAAGGCUUGUAGGCAGAGCACUUCAAAAGAUCUUCAACCGAUUCAUGUUUCAGCUGCCUCAGUACCAGAUUUCAACAGAGCACAUGAAGCAGGACAACUUGACAUUAACAUCAGUCCAAUUGAGAUGUCAAAAGUAUGGGGUGCGAUUAAGAGCUGAAAAGUAACAGUGGUGGAAUAUCAUCAAAUCACAACAGAGAUUGUAACAGCACUUGACAUCAGCCACCUAAUGAAGCUGAUUGAACUAUUCAAUGGCUUUUAUUUCAGGAAUGAAGGAGUGGGUGUGGGAAUAACAUUCCUGCACAGUGGAAAGAUGGAAUCACUGAUGUAAUACCCUCAAAAGGAGUUCUCUUUAAACUGAUGAGUAGGAAUAAUAUUGUCACCUUCUGAGGUCAGCACAGGCUUGCGCUGUGCAUUAUCAGGUCAAGGAGGCAGCAGGCAGUAAGACUGGAUGUUUAUAUCCAGAUCUGGGAAAUAAGGUCAGUCAGUUCUUCAUCAUCUGCCAUAAUGGAAAGCCCCAGAGACAAUGGAAGUUUCUCUUCCUUGCUCUCCAUGUUUUUUUCUCUGUCUGAUAUUAUCUCUGGAUAAAGAAAGAAUUCCCAAGUAAGAGAGAUACAGGCAAAUAUAGGCAUGGAAAUUGUCUUUCAUUCUUUCCAAAGGAAAAGAAAAUGACAAAGCCUUGGUAGGAGGCGGCUCAGCAAAAGUGUGUUGGGAUCCUUUCUUACCCAGAACUCUGAGAGCUGUUGGGUGGGCGAGUGCUAAAGGAACAUUUUUUUCUUUGAAUAUCAAAGAAAAUAUUAGGAAAAUUGUUUUUUGAGGAAGAAUAGCUCUGAGCUAACUACUGCCAAUCUUCCUCUUUUUGCUGAAGAAGACUGGCCCUGAGCUAACAUCUAUGUCCAUCUUCCUAUACUAUAUAUGUGGGACGCCCACCACAGCAUGGCUUUUUGCCAAGCAGUGCCAUGUCCGCACCUGGGAUCUGAACUACCGAACCCUGGGCUGCCGAGAAGCAGAACGUGCAAACUUAGCCACUGAGCCACAGGGCCGGCCCCCAGGAAAAUUUUCAAACUUGGUAAAGUUGAGAGAAUAAUACAAUGAGCACUCCUAUACUCAUCAUCUAGAUCCAGCAAUUGUUUAUGUUAUCAAGUAUGAUUUAUUUAGAUAAAUAUCUAAUCUCUCUCUCUCUUUUGCAGAAACACUUAAAAAUGGGUUACAGGCAUCACAACAUUUUGCCUCCAAAUUCUUCAGUAUGCAUCUCCAAAAUAAAGCACUUUUAUGUAUAAACA
rnacentral:lncRNA from 1 species